GAUGAACGCUGGCGGCGUGCCUAACACAUGCAAGUCGAGCGAACGGACGAGAAGCUUGCGUCUCUGAUGUUAGCGGCGGACGGGUGAGUAACACGUGGAUAACCUACCUAUAAGACUGGGAUAACUUCGGGAAACCGUAGCUAAUACCGGAUAAUAUUUUGAACCGCAUGGUUCAAAAGUGAAAGACGGUCUUGCUGUCACUUAUAAAUGGAUCCGCGCUGCAUUAGCUAGUUGGUAAGGUAACGGCUUACCAAGGCAACGAUGCAUAGCCGACCUGAGAGGGUGAUCGGCCACACUGGAACUGAGACACGGACCAGACUCCUACGGGAGGCAGCAGUAGGGAAUCUUCCGCAAUGGGCGAAAGCCUGACGGAGCAACGCCGCGUGAGUGAUGAAGGUCUUCGGAUCGUAAAACUCUGUUAUUAGGGAAGAACAUAUGUGUAAGUAACUGUGCACAUCUUGACGGUACCUAAUCAGAAAGCCACGGCUAACUACGUG
rnacentral:rRNA from 1 species